GCACUUUGCAAUCCCGCUUUUACCGCCUAUAUUAGGGGUGUCGGGCAACCGACUAUGGCGAUAAACGCUCUAUGGAAUAGGCGUAGCGGACCCGGGGGCGGUACCCGGCGCCUCCACCACAACGACAUCGACGGGGUCAUCCCGGUGUCGUUCUGCUGGGGGCGAAACAGGCUCGACGCGCGCAGUAAAGAUACAGUUUUCGCCCGGCAUGAUACCACCGUUAUCGGGUCUUUUUCACAAAUGCCAACGACAAUGAGGCAUUUGCUGUUGCUGCCUAAUUAGGCAGCAAUAACGGGGUUCGGAGGGCACCUGGCAACAGAAGCCCUCCACU
rnacentral:tmRNA from 1 species